rnacentral:rRNA from 1 species
UCGAGAAUUUUUCUCAAUGGGGGAAACCCUGAAGGAGCGACGCCGCGUGGGGGAUGAAUGGCUUCGGCCCGUAAACCCCUGUCAUUUGCGAUCAAACCUUGCGAUCUAACACAUCGUAAGCUGAUAGUAGCGAAAGAGGAAGGGACGGCUAACUCUGUGCCAGCAGCCGCGGUAAUACAGAGGUCCCAAGCGUUGUUCGGAUUCACUGGGCGUAAAGGGUGCGUAGGCGGUCGGGUAAGUCUAACGUGAA